UUUCUGCUUUACGUUUUAGUUUGCCCCAGGGGCGGUUCUAGACCCUUUUAAGUGGGGCUCCAGCCACCCUGCCGUCAUCUUAGCCCCCCUAAAAUUAGUCUUAAUAUUUCUACCAAACUAUCAAAUAUAUUUUUCUGAAGUUUUAUUUAUUUGUAAAAACAAUUAAUUCGAAGAUAAUUAUUUAAAAAAACGCAAAAUGCAAGACAUUUAGAAAAAAAUUACGAGUUUAUGAGGCAUUUGAUUAGCUUUGCUGUUCUGCGCAUGCGUCGUAACCGUCAGUGGAGGAGAGCUCGAGCGCCUGUGCUUCAGGUCACACAGAGGGAGCAGUUGUUUCAUAAAAUAUCCAGCGUGGAAGCUCAGAAGGUGCAUUUAUAGUCCAUCAUGACAUAAAAAAUCCUCUGCAUGCAACCACGAGGAGAGGGGGAAUUUACUAAGGAGUUUUGUCUAUAUAUUAUAUAAAAUCUACUGUUGGGUAAGUACAUUUUGUAUUAUUUGAUUAACGUGGUUAAGUUUUACUUGUUUGACACAAAUGAACCAAAAUAAACAUUGCCAGAAUUGUCCACACUGAGUAUGGCUAAAAUUAGCUAAUAGGCUAAAAGGUACUUUGAACUUACACAUGUUAUACCAUAGUAUAAAGUAUAUUUAAUGAUAGAGUCAAAGUUAUUACUUUAGCUUAUAUAUGUAGCCUUUGAGAAUUUCUUUCAGAAAUUAAAACAUCUGAAAGAGAAAAGUUAUUUGGCAUGAUGGAAUGAUUUGAUUGCCUACACAUUGCACAUGUAAAAUGUUAAAUACUGUUCUGUAUUAAAAGCUCAGCAUAAGUGUUUGAUUAACUUCCUUUGCUUUUGUUUUGUACAAAGGAAGAGCAGAACCUAAUCCAAAUAAAAAUAAACAAGCUGUUAAAAGCCAGUUGAAGGUGGUCAACACAAACCAAAUGAAGAUGUUGCACAUUCCACAAACAAUAAAAAAGAAGAUCAAGUUUUGUGUCCAACACACUUGGAUGAGACGUGCCCGACCCCUGACUUUGUCUACCCUACAUUAAGUUGUGAUGGCACACUUCAUGACAGUAAACAUCGGUAUCAAGAUGAUGUGAUUGAUCUAUACCCUAGAAUAAGCUGUGACACUAUGAGACGGUGACAUAAUGAACAGCCAUCUUCCAGACAACCGAAACAGUAUUGUCUACAAUACCAAAUUCUGGAUUGACGCCCCAGUACCA